rnacentral:rRNA from 1 species
AGAGUUUGAUCAUGGCUCAGAACAAACGCUGGCGGCGUGCCUUACACAUGCAAGUCGAACGGUAACAGGUCUUCGGAUGCUGACGAGUGGCGAACGGGUGAGUAAUACAUCGGAACGUGCCCAAUCGUGGGGGAUAACGUAGCGAAAGUUACGCUAAUACCGCAUACGAUCUACGGAUGAAAGCGGGGGAUCGCAAGACCUCGCGCGAGUGGAGCGGCCGAUGUCAGAUUAGGUAGUUGGUGGGGUAAAGGCUCACCAAGCCAACGAUCUGUAGCUGGUCUGAGAGGACGACCAGCCACACUGGAACUGAGACACGGUCCAGACUCCUACGGGAGGCAGCAGUGGGGAAUUUUGGACAAUGGGCGCAAGCCUGAUCCAGCCAUUCCGCGUGCAGGAUGAAGGCCUUCGGGUUGUAAACUGCUUUUGUACGGAACGAAACGGCGAGCUCUAAUACAGUUUGCUAAUGACGGUACCGUAAGAAUAAGCACCGGCUAACUACGUG